UACGUAGGGGGCAAGCGUUUGUCCGGAUUUAUUGGGCGUAAAGAGCGUGUAGGCGGCCUGGAAGGUCAGCUGUGAAAACUCGAGGCUCAACCUCGAGACGUCGGUUGAAACCACCUGGCUAGAGUCCGGAAGAGGAGAGUGGAAUUCCCGGUGUAGCGGUGAAAUGCGUAGAUAUCGAGAGGAACACCUGCGGCGAAGGCGGGUUGCUGGGCCGACACUGACGCUGAUGCGCGAAAGCCAGGGGAGCGAACGGG
rnacentral:rRNA from 1 species